GUAGCUCAGUGGUUAGGGCACUGGUCACAUACACCAGGGCUGGUGAGUUCGAAUCCCACC
rnacentral:tRNA from 1 species